AAAAAGUUCUCAUUUCUUUUAACUCUAAAUCUUCCUAUCUCUGACUAAUCUAUUUUCCUCUGAUUUCUCUUUCAGGGGAAGGACUCAAAAAUGGUUGAGACAGAAACAAGGUCUAGAGAUGGAAGCAAAAGGGAAAAGCCUUAAGCAAGAUCUGAAGAGGGAAUCUGCUUAUCAACCACCAAGCUGCUCCUUGCUGGGCUCCCCCAAGACUGGAAUUCUCAAAUGAACCUGGAAUUUAAAGAAAGAAAAACAGGAUCAAGAAAAGGGAUAUUAAUGGCUUGAGAUUAUGUCCCAUGUUCCAGGGGUGUGUCUCCGUCUAAGUCUGAUGACUAGCUGUGUGACCACAGCAGAUUCCUGGGAUGAAAGGAACCAUCCACCACCAAUCACCACACCACUCACCACCAGCUACAACUAAUACCACUACCACCAUUGCUGACAACAAUAACAAUACCACCACCAACAACAACAACCACCAGGACUUUCAGAAAGGCAUGCUAUCAACAAAGCCUUCCACCAAAUGCAAGGUGGUCUUCAAAGAGAGAAAACAGUUUGCCAAUCCAGAAGAAAUCAGGCACCAAAAACAAGAAAUGUAAGAUAGACCUCUAGCCUACCUCGUUCUCAAGUCUAAGGAGCAGCCUUCUCCCACCAAAGGCACAUAGAGGCUCCCUACCCCCAGAUCAUUCCAUUCAGAAGCCUGGUUGGUUCUCAGGAGACUAGAGCUAAGGGGCUCUGAGUCAUUAUGAGUUGGCAGAGGCCCCAGCUUUUCCUUUGAGCCCUCCACAUCCAGCUUUGAAGAGAAACAUCACAGAAUUUAGAACUAGAAGGGUCCUUCUUGGUCACUUCCAGACAGAGGAACAGAGGCCCACAGUGGGGAAAUGGGCAGUCGUCC
rnacentral:lncRNA from 1 species